UUUAUUUGUGUCUCUAUCAAACUGAUUAUCCUGCAAAACUUAAAGCACAUAAUUUUUAAUAGAAAAAUAAGUCGGGUUGGCUAGUUGGAAAUCCAUUGAUAUUUGUCCAGCAUCAUUCCUCUUACAGUAAUCUCACAUGGUUUGUUGUAGUUGCUCUUCCAUGACAAGUUUUCUCCUGGAAAUUACAAUAACUAAGAAUACCCUUAGUAGUAUAGCACUAACAAA
rnacentral:lncRNA from 1 species